rnacentral:rRNA from 1 species
UACAGAGGGGGCAAGCGUUGUUCGGAAUUACUGGGCGUAAAGGGCGCGUAGGCGGCCUUCUAAGUCGAACGUGAAAUCCCCGGGCUCAACCCGGGAACUGCGUCCGAUACUGGAAGGCUUGAAUCCGGGAGAGGGAUGCGGAAUUCCAGGUGUAGCGGUGAAAUGCGUAGAUAUCUGGAGGAACACCGGUGGCGAAGGCGGCUACCUGGACAGAAACUGACGCUGAGGCACGAAGGUCAGGGGAGCAAACGGG